rnacentral:lncRNA from 10 species
GUAAGUCAUCUUUACAUCAGAAUAAAUACAAAGACGUCCAGCCUUUUGUCCUUUCUCCUCCUUUGCCAAAGAAGACGACCCACUCACCUCACCGAAUUGUUCCUCAUGUGGGUUCAUGGGAGACAAAAUGUUUUUAGCAGGAGAUGAGGCAUUUGCUUGACAAGAACAUUUCUGAGCUGAGGCUUCUGGUUUUAACUUUGUCAACCAGCAGGCAGCAUUUCUCUGACUGUAAAUCUGAGUUAAUUUACAGACAUGCUCCUAAGGAAGGAAAAACUGAAUCAGUACCCUUGCUCCUGACACAGAGAGAAAGUCACCACCAGGAGAAAAAGAAAAAAAAGAUCUCAGGUUUCAAUGAGAUAAUGAACUUGUAACCACCUGAAUAUAUCAACGAGGUUUCAUUAGUAUUUACCUAAUGUCAUCUUCCUGUUUGAGGACCCCAUCUGGGAUACCACAGCACAUUUGGUCAUGUCUCCUGAGGCUCCUCUUGGCUGAAUUCAGGAAAGAACUUGAGUUCUACUUUUGCAGUGAAGAACAGAGAACACCUGCAGAAGCUGAGAAUGAAAUGAGCCCACCAGGACUUAGCAACCGUCUUGCUGAGGUUUGGAUUUUGACAGGGUGUGAAUGGUGGUUGGAGAUAAGCUUAUCUGGUUUUCCAGGGGCCAGGAGACCACAGCUAGGUUAGCAUCUGCAUUGCACAUGUUAUAGUAAGGAUGCCUGUUUGCUAUCAAAUUACUCUAACAGCAUUAUUUCCUUUGACUCUAUUUAACAGUCAUGUGAAGCAAACCCUUUCUGUAGAUUGUGCAAAUUUAACUCAAUCUGCAUUGGGCUGGACAUUGUGAUAAAUUACUAGGGAUCUACUUGAAUGACACUUUACAUGCAAACUUUAUUUUUACAUUUUAAUAUAUUCAAACUUAUAUGGUUAGGAGAGGAGUGUGACAGCUUCAAAAAUAGAAGAAAAAUCAUUAAAUGUUGACUGGUAGAGCUGGAAGAGAUCUCAGCAACUACUUUAUAGAUGAGGAAACUAAGACAUAGAGAAGUGGAUAACUUUCCAACAUCAUACAGCCUUUGAACAGUAGAUUCAUUGGAAUAAUUAAAACAGAAGGUCUUCUUUCCCUGCUAGGGGGAUUUCUGCCAUGAACCACUCCUCCUGUAGUACUCAAAGGUCUAACUUGGCUAUGGAAAAGCCUCUAUCUCAGGAAUGUUUAUGUCUUUGGAUCCUUUCCUCUCUUUUACAAAAGAACCCUGGAGAAAAUAAAAAAAAAAGGUCCACAUGGUUAUAAAACACUGAACUUCAGCUUUUUCUGAAGCCACCCUCUUGUCCAAAUUUUGGGGACUUUACGUGGAUGGGAGCAAGCAGUUUAUCUGGGCUUUUUCCUACUUCCUACCUCUCCCAGGACUGGGAGAGUCAACUGAAAACCAAUCAAUAUAUGUUUCAUUUUUGUUUUCUGUAUAAAUAGUUGUCUUAUCUGAAAUGACCUUUUUCCAAGAGCUAAUAGCCAUAAAUUUUUGCAGCUGGACAUGUUUAGAAAUGCCUCUUAGCUAUUUUUGUUGAUUUAUUUUCUUUGUCUGUAUUUGUGCAAUCCAGCUUUGGGCAUAGAAGCAAGCAGCUCUGGUUUCUGGUCCUCUACCUCUAAUGAUUUAAAUUCAGGGGACGUAGUUCUUUUUCUAUAGGAAUGGCCCCGUAUGGGAUUCCAUGGAGUCAUAGCUCAGCCCAGGAGUUAUUAUUCUAUCUUGGAGACUCAUGUUGAAUUCUUUUUGUGGCAACUAUUUCUGCAUUUUCUGCAUUUCUUUCUGAGUCUGCUUUGAAAUGUUUUUAUCUAUCUAUCUAUCUGCCUACCUACCUACUUCCAAUUUCGAUGUCCAAUAAUAUGGUGAUUAUAUAUUAUAGAGUAUUAACUCACUGGCAUAUUAAGUGACCACAAUAAAUGCAAAUGAAAAUAUCAUCUGCUGUGUAGCUCCAUGGAACAGCACAUCUGAAACAUAUUAAGUGACCAUUCCGUAUAUUUAAUUAUAGUCUGAAAAAUUUAUGUAACAUGUGGAUAAAGUUUAGACAUUUUCUCAAAAAGAAGUAAGUGAACUAGAAGUUCUUAAUGGCCUAAUAUGUGCUGGAUUUAUCUCAUUUAACCCUUAGAACAGUCCUGUAAAUUAAGCGUCAUUACCUCCAUCUGAAGAUGUAGAACCUGAGUCUCAAUGGAUCAAAUAACUUGUCUAAAGUCACACAGCUAAUAUUAAUAUAAAGGUACAGCCAGAGUUCUAGGUUGGUCCAAAAGCUGGAAUCUCUGCUCUUUUCAUUAUGCCGUGCUACGUUUAGAGAAAUCUAAGCAAUGAUAGACUUAUGUAAAGGGCUUAGAAUUGUAGCAUUUUGGGUUAAAAAUAAAAAUAAAAGUAAAUAUAAAAAUAUUUUUGUCCCCCUUCAUCUUCACUGUAUUAAUAAUUUCUGAGUUGGAGCAAAGGACACAUGACUGACACAAUAGAGAGAAAUCAUCAUUCCUCUCUGUCCUUUUGCUUCUAGAACAACGUUGUUACCUCUCUGUCUCUGGAUAUCCAUUUUCCAGGCCACAAUAUGUAUGUUCUGAGGUCUAAAGUCAAAAGGAUGCCAAGAAAAUAAGGCAAUCGCUUAAGCCCAGAAUGUAAGACUAAGCAAUAAAACAAUCAGAAUUAUCUGACUUAUAAGCAGGGCUAAACUUAGAUGAAAUUUAGAAAUAGAAAUAAAAGUUGAUCUUUUUCUUCUCAAGCCUCCAGUAUGCUUUCCCUUCUCUUUUAUACAAAUUUAUUUUCUGUAUCACAU